rnacentral:rRNA from 1 species
AGUGAACGCUGGCGGUAGGCCUAACACAUGCAAGUCGAACGGCAGCACAGUAAGGGCUUGCUCUUACGGGUGGCGAGUGGCGGACGGGUGAGGAAUACAUCGGAAUCUACUUUUUCGUGGGGGAUAACGUAGGGAAACUUACGCUAAUACCGCAUACGACCUACGGGUGAAAGCAGGGGAUCUUCGGACCUUGCGCGAUUGAAUGAGCCGAUGUCGGAUUAGCUAGUUGGCGGGGUAAAGGCCCACCAAGGCGACGAUCCGUAGCUGGUCUGAGAGGAUGAUCAGCCGAACUGGAACUGAGACACGGUCCAGACUCCUACGGGAGGCAGCAGUGGGGAAUAUUGGACAAUGGGCGCAAGCCUGAUCCAGCCAUACCGCGUGGGUGAAGAAGGCCUUCGGGUUGUAAAGCCCUUUUGUUGGGAAAGAAAAGCAGCAGGUUAAUACCCCGCUGUUCUGACGGUACCCAAAGAAUAAGCACCGGCUAACUUCGUG